rnacentral:lncRNA from 1 species
GAAAAUGCCCCUGUGAGCCAAAAAACAAAAUGUUAUGUUCUGAUUUGAAAAUGACUCGUAAUUCUUCGAAUUACGAUAUUUGAUAACUAUUGCUCACCGAGGAAGUGUGAAAGCUGAUACGAGAGCCUUGCGAGGUUUCGAUCGGCAUUCGAGGUGAAGAAUAUCUAUCGAGGCUUCGCGGCUGUUGUCAUGGGCUCGAUGAGAGUUUCGGGUUAUGACACUUUGGCUAAUCGGUUAUAGGCAGCUCUAGCCGAUUACAGCUUCUCUACCUUACACUGUCUUGCUACU